CUUAAUGUCAAUCAUUGUUUAUUUCCUGAAUAGAUGUGGAGAUAGACACAGGGAAGAUUUAUCAGAUCUUAAAUGUGGUACAAAGAUGGAACAGUGAAGGCGUCAACAAGCAAGUAUGGCUGCAUCACUUUUUAGAAGCGAACACUUUGCUAAACCUUUUCCAUUGUUAUGGUAUUUCCUACUCCAAGGCAAUUUGUACCGUUGAUUUGCAACUGGACUGAAAUGAAUUGUGAUAAUUGCAUAAUCUGUGGAGCACCCAAUGAAAGUUAUAGAUUGUGUAAUUUCCAUCCCCCACAACCUCCAAAGGAAAAGGGACGACUCCCCUAUUAAUAGUUAUUGCUCUUUUAUUACCAUACAAUUUCCCAUUUUAUAUAUAAAUAAAAUUAAUGUUUAUAACUGCACGCAAACUUUACUUCAGUACUUACCCAUCAAGAAUAUUUAAUGCAAAUCAGCUUACACUUCCCAUGCUCCCCAUCCUAUCAGAGUGCAAUUUCCUGACCAAACUCUUGCUAUGAAACCAAACUGAUAGUCAAUGUUACCCUAUUGAUCAUUUCAUUUGGCAAAGCUGUAUUUAAAUGCAUUUCUGUAUUAACACACAGAUUAACAUUGUGACAAAGUUUUGCCAAUAGAAUGGUGGACCAAUUUCCAUAGAUACAAAUAAAAAUUCUCCACACUUUGGCCCACUUUCCUCUGUGCAAAACAUAAGCACCAGUAACUCCAAUACACAAAAUGACCGGUAAUAAGCAAGCAUUAAUAAAACUCCAAAAGACACCCAGUGAAUUCACAUAAUGAAUUCAAAAGACGUUCAGGAUUUACAAAGUAUUUGUGCUUUGUUGUAAGCCACCGAUGAACAUAUCCAUAUUUAACAUGUAAACCCACCAAAUGUUAGUGAAGUAGAUCCAAUUGACAGCAUUGUGGCUAUAAUAGCCUAGCUGUGAAUUGGAGAUUUUUUUUUCUAGAUUAAUUAUUUUAGCACAGAUUUGCGAGAAUGUGUAGUUUACUACAUUACCCUGUAAG